AAGGAGUCUCCCAUAUGUGUUCCUGUGCUCAAGAUGUUCUAGUAGAGUGUGUAACACAAUGGCAAUGGCAUCCUCUGUAGACCUGUUCUUCCGCUUGUACCAUGAUGAGAAUAAGUCUCACACUUCAGCUGAACACCAGGUGGUUUCUCCUGUUGCUGUAGACCUGCUGUUGAGAUGGAAACCUGGCUGUAGAUUAUUAUUGCUGCACUUCUAUCUGGGGACCUUUAUCAGCAAACAAUCUCAAUCCAGGACAGAGUCCAGGCUCUACAGGGAAACAACGUGACUCUCUCCUGCAGCUACUCGUCAGCAACAUACCUCUUAUGGUAUCGGCAGUACCCCAGCUCACCUCCCCAGUUCCUUAUCAAAGAACACAUGGAGCUAUCUGGAAUUACUUUGAAGAACGAGAGUGAAGACACAUGUUCCAGCUGGAGAUCUCCGCUGCUGCAGUGACAGACUCUGCUCUGUACUACUGUGCUGUGGAGCCCAAAGUGACAGCGAACACAGACUCCCUGUACAAAAACCUGACAAGGAACUCGAACAGCAUUUGUCAUUGCUUUCAACUGUGGUUAAGGGGAGGGAAAUCUAGAGAGGUAAAUUCACACCAGGAGUCUAGUGAAGAAACAGUAUGUUACAACAAGGAUACAGAGGUAGCAUGUUGAGCUCCAGGGUUCCCAUGGUGUUUGAAAUGAUGUCAGUCCUCUUUCUACUUGUAGUUUGCAUGAUAGCAGGU
ensembl:lncRNA